rnacentral:lncRNA from 1 species
UGCAGACGGACCAUAAAAGCGCCGAAAUCGCAUGAAAUAAUGCGAUUUCGGGUAAUCGAGAGGGCUUCUAUGUAUUUUGGUUGUUGCGGGUGCUGUUGGCAGCAUGGGUGAGUAGUGGGUAACCUUUGGACUGAUUGUCCAAGGCCCCAAGCCCUUACGAAGACCGUAAAGUGAUUUCCGAUGCGUUUCUCGGCGAAAUCCGCCGACGGAACGCGGGUUUCGGUUCGGAAUUCUUCCGACGGUACUUGGUGAUUAUUUGCGUCGUCGCUGAGCCUUGUUGGCUGGUCACCCGCGUCGUUUCGAGGGUUCGAAAACGACGGGUGAGCGACGGUGGAGUUCCGGUGCGGUUUUCGGGACUUCCGGCUUGUUCGGUAAUCGGUUUUGGGAAACCGAUUCUCGUGGUUCUGGUGAGUGGGGAUU